rnacentral:rRNA from 1 species
AUUGAACGCUGGCGGCAGGCUUAACACAUGCAAGUCGAGCGGGGGAAGGUAGCUUGCUACCGGACCUAGCGGCGGACGGGUGAGUAAUGCUUAGGAAUCUGCCUAUUAGUGGGGGACAACAUCUCGAAAGGGAUGCUAAUACCGCAUACGUCCUACGGGAGAAAGCAGGGGAUCUUCGGACCUCGCGCUAAUAGAUGAGCCUAAGUCGGAUUGGCUAGUUGGUGGGGUAAAGGCCUACCAAGGCGACGAUCUGUAGCGGGUCUGAGAGGAGGACCCGCCACACUGGGACUGAGACACGGCCCAGACUCCUACGGGAGGCAGCAGUGGGGAAUAUUGGACAAUGGGGGGAACCCUGAUCCAGCCAUGCCGCGUGUGUGAAGAAGGCCUUAUGGUUGUAAAGCACUUUAAGCGAGGAGGAGGCUACUUUAGUUAAUACCUAGAGAUAGUGGACGUUACUCGCAGAAUAAGCACCGGCUAACUCUGUGCCAGCAGCCGCGGUAA